rnacentral:lncRNA from 1 species
AAAUAAACCAAGGAAAGUAAUAAGUCAGCAUACUUAUAGGGGGUGAUAAGACUCAUGAGUUACCUUUUUCAUCUUUUUUUCUCAUUGAAGAACCCGUCUUCAAUCAGUUUUGUAACGACAUUAAGAUUUGUUUCAAUAUUUUUAUUUUUAUUUGUAUUCGGAACACUUAUUUUUUUACCGUCACCGCUAUGGUAAAAGCUGCAAUCGCUGCUGCAGAGUGGACACACUGUAUGUAGUGUGCCGGUAGAUAAUUGGAAACUCGAAACUCGCAUAUUGAUAAUGUAAAAUACAUAAUUAAAAAAAAUGACACUUCUAAAGUUUGGUCGUCGUUUCAAAAGUGAGGCAUUUGCCUCAUUUGCCUCCAUUACGCUAAGGCCCUGUCUGGAGCUGGAAUGUCAGUAACGACUGGUAGUCCUUUGAUAAUUUAUGUAUUAUGUCACUUUGCUUAGUUUCUUUUGUAGCCUGUUCUGACAUCGGACUCUUAAUUCUUUUACAGAGGCGGAUUUAGGGGGGGGGUAUGAAAAUUUCUGGCUCCGCCACUGUUUUAAACUUAGUUUUACUAUGCGUUUUGCUAUGUGUUUGUUUAUUCUGUAUUGGCUAGAGUUAAAGGGGAGGUUGAGAUCUCAUAAAAAAUGUUUAACCUCGUCGUAUUUUUGCUGCUGCUGUCCCAACUUGGCCUUUGUUAGUCAUGUAUGUUUUUGAUUUUAGUUCAUUUAUAUGUUUUGAAGUUAAAGUAUGACGUCCAUUUUCACUGAACAACUGCACAUUUUAUUUAGGGGGGGGGGGGGCAGCUGAGGCCCAUCUCUGUGUGCGAGAUUUUCUCGCUGCGUUGAAGAUCAUUUGGUGACCUUCAACUGUUUUAUGCUCUUUGGUCGGGUUGUUGUCUCUUUGACAUAUUCCCCAUUCCCAUUCCCAAUUUUAUUAUGUUUAAAAAGUUAGUGGAAUACGGUCCGUUUGUCCUACAUAAAUAAUAACAGACACGGGUAACAAAAUUGUCAAUCACAAUGUCACACGAGCUUGCUUUUCUACAGAAAUAGCUGAUUUACCAUUAAUUUUGGACCUGGUUCGGGUUCCUAUGCAAAAAAUCCAAGAAAAUCGCAUUAAAGUUUUUCUUUUUAGUUGAAAAUAAUUCUUGAAAUUUGUACAUGAAUAUAUCAAAGGGAACUAGAAGCAUGUUCUUCGUCCUACAAACGGAUUACAUUUAUUAUUAAAUAACAAGUUUUAAUUUGUUGUCUUCUUUAAUACACAUUUCUAUUUGGUUGCAAAGCUGCCAGUAUCUGUUUAAAAGUUUUGUUUUGUUUAAGGUUUUUUUGGUUAAUCCGUUUUAUUUUGUGUUGAAACAUGUUUUAAGUUUUACUCUUAACCAGGUUAUUGGUUAAAUUCAACCUCAAACAUGUUGAAAGAAAAUAAAACACGCCUAUAGAAACUAUAAACUAGAACUUUGGUUCAGAUCAUUUCACUUCUCAACAACCUCAAGUGGGGUUCAUGUUGUUUAUUCUUUAGUUUUCUAUGUUGUGUCGUGUGUGCUGUUAUUUGUUUGUCUUUUCAUUUUUAGCCAUGGCGUUGUCAGUUUGUUUUAGAUUUAUGAGUUUGACUGUCCCUUUGGUAUCUUUCGUCCCUCUUUUAGACACAUGAGUUUUUUUAAUUAGUUGUUAGUUUUCAACUAGCUUUCCACUUUGUCUUCACCCGACUUGUCAAUGUUGGUCGUCCGUUUGGCUGUGCAGGAUGUACAAAUACGCACGGGCAGUCACGUCUGGUCAGAAUGGGGACUUUAAAUCCGAUGCCUAGUUGUAGAGAGAAUGCAACUCUUUGAGGAGUUCAUAGUUGGUCUACUGAAAGGCAAAUAUCCAAUAAUCCCUCAUUUUCCAAUGCAUGGUAUUUUAGAUUUCCAGACCUUCGUCCUGGACGACACCUAUUACAGGACCUAGCUCCAAGUUUUAUUUAUUGUAUAAAAAAUGUCAACGGUCCUGAACUUGCAGAAAUAAUUGACACUGAAUGUAAAAAAAAAUCAAUCAAUCAACUGGCUUCCAGUAAUUUUGAGUACUCUCAAAUCUGCGUGUUAUGGCCACAAUUAUUCAAAAUUCCUAAGCUGGUAGGGGUUUUACAGUAGAGAAUAUAAAGAAAUACGAAUUUCUUGAAUUUUGUUAGGCAUCGACUAUGUCUGUAUGUGUUAUAUGUCUAGGGUGAAGGUUUAAGAUUCAAAAUAUUGAUGGUUGAUGUCUAGCCAAAAGGAUAGUUCUAUUAUCUGUCUUAUAUAGUAGCAUCAGUGUUUACGUGCCUAUUUUUUUUAAUGAAGGAUCGUCAAUAUGUACUACUAGUAUUAAUUAAGUAAAACGUAUAUAUCAAUCAGAACGAAAUAGAUAUGAUAAUACCAAACAGGGUGUACUGCUUAAUUAAAGGGAUACGCUGGUCUACGCUGGGCAAUACAUAUUGUAAAUAAAAAAAAAUAUAUUAUGGAUUGUACUGCGUUAUUUAAUUCACCAGUCAGAUGUUAUGGUACAUUAUUCAUAAUUCUUCGAACUUUUCAUCAUGUAUGUUAUAAUUAUCAUGAUUAAAUAACCAGUAAAUUUUAUAUUUUUGUACAUAAAAUUUGGCAGCUAAAACGCUGAAAACCGUUUUCCGUCGGGGCCCCUGAACUCCCUACCAGACCUCCUGCCGAUUGGUGCCUACAGUUGACUAAAUACCUAGCUACGCCCCUGAAAAUAAUCGUCUAUUGUAUAAUAAGGCGUGUUUUAUUUUCUUUAACCAUUAACCUGGUUGAAGUUUGGUUAUUGGUUCAAUGUUUUAUUAUUUUUGUUCUUAACCAAUUAGUUAUUGGUUAAUGAAACCUUUAACCAUACUUCCAAGGACGGUUUAGAUAUUUUCAAAAUGGUGGCCUAGGCUACCGGCGAUGUUUUUUUUUCUCUGUGUAUUUGCUAGUCUUACUCAUAUAAAAGUAAGAGCUCUAACAUACAUAAUGGAGAAAAAACCUUCGGGCUCCCAUGUUUGAAAAUUGAAGCUUAAGUCUGUAUGUUCAUAUCUAUAUCUGGUAAGGGCGGUUUAUUUAUUUAUGAAAUAUCACAAGGCUUACUUCAGACUGGGACUAUUAUACUGUUAGUAUUAUCUGCGACUACUAUAACAUAGUGUUAUAGUAGUCCCAGCUUCAGGAAGAUCUUGAAUAUUGUCCAAAGUUGGAUAAGAAUGCAUCAAAGAAUAGGACUUUUUGUGUUAUAUAAAAUGUAGUUUUUACCGUCAUUUCUAAAUACUUGACACUUCAGAACCUUUUUUAACCGGUUUCACCGUGACUAUAUGCAAUAAGUCACCUAUACCUGUCACUAUGUACAUGCAGUGUUUGUAUAUAAGAAGAUGUGGUAUGAGUGCCAAUGAGACAAGUCUCCAUCCAAGUCACAAUUUAUAAAAGUAGACAAUUAUAGGUCAAGGUACUGUCCUUAACACGGAGCCUUGGCUCACACCGAACAGCAAGCUAUAAAGGGCCCCAAAAAUUAAUAGUGUUAAACCAUUCAAACUGGAAAACCAACUGUCUAAUCUAUAUGAAAAACCAGAAACAAGAAACACUUAUGAACGACAUCAACAAAGUUAACUAUUGAAGUUCAGAUUCCUGACUUAGGGUCUUACUUAGGACAGGUGCAACAAUUAUACACUUAACGAUUGCCUUAUUUUUUAAUUAUGCAAAAAAAAAUCAUAUCAACUGAUCAAAAAUUCAUAUAAAAAAUAGAAAAUUGUACUGUCCAAUACCCUAAUGACAAACUUGACAUAGCAUGUACCCAAGUCUUUAAAACCAAAGACUUUCGAACAAGAAAAUUGCACCUUUUCUACCUAUAGGCAAAUCACACUUUUUGCCAAAAUUCUCAAAUAAAGAAUUUUAUUAUAUAUUUUAACAUAUAUCAUCAUUCAUGUUAACAAAACAAAACCACUUUUGAUAGGAACUAUUUUCUCAUAUGUAUACAAUGAACAUUAAAGAAAUUGAUUGUUGUUCUUUGACUUAUGAGACCCCUUUUCAACGUGAAAAAGUUGAUAUUUGCAGUGUUUGUUAUUUUAAUCCUACUUGUAAUUUGUUUUUGUUCACAUAUUGCAGUCAAUAAUAUGAAAUUUUAUGCGACUGUCAAAUAAGUGAAAGGUUAGCUAGCUAUAAAACCAGGUUUAAUCCACCAUUUUCUACCUUAGACAAUGCCUGUACCAAGUCAGGAAUAUGCCAGUUGUUUUUCAUUCGUUUGAUGUGUUUGAGCUUUUGAUUUUUCCAUUUGAUAAGAGACUUUCCGUUUUUACCUUGGAGUUUGACAUUUUCUAUAUUUUAUAUUUUGCAAUGAUUCAUGUAAAUCCCAUAAUAGAUAAAGAUUAAAAGGGCCCGGCGAUGCAGCAACAUUUUGGCACUGGUUAACACACACAAACAUUGCCCUGUUGUGGCAGUAACAGUCCUUAUACACAUUCGAAAGAUUUUAAUGAUUGAAAAUAUGUUAACGACCGUUAACGACAGAAAGCACAAUUUUUUAAUAAUAACAGCAUUGAUAUUUGCAUGUACUAUUGAAAAUUUAUCCACUAUGGUCUUGCGUAAGGGAGUAUGCAUGUCAUGCAGAUCACAAUCUAAAUUUUUGACUUUAAUAUUUAAGUAAAUCAAUCGCAUUCAAUUUGUGCUAAACUUUCAAGUACAUGUACUUUUACAUUAUAAAUAGACAAAUUACAACAAAAUUAAGCUAUAAAAAGUCGGAAAUUUGGAGAAAACAAAUAAUAUUUAAUGGCAAUAAUUGUAGUGUUGCUGCAACAAGAGAUACGAAAUUUUGGAACACACUAAUUUAGGUCUGGCAAGGCCGUAGCGCAUGUUCAUUGAAAAGUGAGGCAAAUCGCCGAGCGGAGCGAGUCGAAAUUUUUUUAGCCUUUUUUAUGGGGGGUUCGGGUGCCUGAAACAGGAGAAGCUAGCUUAUUUCAGCAUUACUAUUUGUAAUAAAAAACAAAAAAAAUAACAGAAAUGCGUUAUUUUUAUUAGCUAGCCUAUAAGUAAAUAUUAAAAUAAUCUCUGUUGGUCAAACAACUUUCCAAUUUUCCUGUGUGUGACCUGUACUAUCGAAAAGCUACAACAUACGUUCUUAUGUAUAUACAUGAAUAUAUAUUUAUGUCCAGUAGCAAGUUAUAAGCUUCUAGAAGACGAGAACAUUUUAUAAAUAUUUUCAAACAAUACCAAAAAUAUAUUUCAUACUUUUUUAUUAAAGAUAAAUAAAAAUCAUGAAUUGCCUAUACACCAAAGACUUCCAUAGAAAAGGCGUUUAAAUUAAUUAUGAAUAUUUGUUUUUAUUUUUGGUCAAUGAAUUAUUUUACCGAUUAGCAUUUGUUGUUCAGUGAGUUAAUAUUGUAAACAUUGGUAGCUAUAGCGUUAUCGAUUCAAAAAUAAACCAAGGAAAGUAAUAAGUCAGCAUACUUAUAGGGGGUGAUAAGACUCAUGAGUUACCUUUUUCAUCUUUUUUUCUCAUUGAAGAACCCGUCUUCAAUCAGUUUUGUAACGACAUUAAAAUUGUUUCAAUAUUUUUAUUUUUAUUUGUAUUCGGAACACUUAUUUUUUUACCGUCACCGCUAUGGUAAAAGCUGCAAUCGCUGCUGCAGAGUGGACACACUGUAUGUAGUGUGCCGGUAGAUAAUUGGAAACUCGAAACUCGCAUAUUGAUAAUGUAAAAUACAUAAUUUAAAAAACAAUGACACUUCUAAAGUUUGGUCGUCGUUUCAAAAGUGAGGCAUUUGCCUCAUUUGCCUCCAUUACGCUAAGGCCCUG